CCUCGGGAGGCUGCAGUGGGGAAUAUUGCACAAUGGGGGAAACCCUGAUGCAGCGACGCCGCGUGAGUGAAGAAGUAAUUCGUUACGUAAAGCUCUAUCAGCAGGGAAGAAACACUGACCUUACGGUCAGCAGACGGUACCUGAGUAAGAAGCCCCGGCUAACUACGUGCCAGCAGCCGCGGUAAUACGUAGGGGGCAAGCGUUAUCCGGAUUUACUGGGUGUAAAGGGAGCGUAGACGGUUCGCCAAGUAUGGAGUGAAAUGCCGCAGCUUAACGGCGGAAGUGCUUUGGAAACUGGCGAACUAGAGUGCGGGAGGGGUGAGCGGAAUGCCUAGUGUAGCGGUGAAAUGCGUAGAUAUUAGGCGGAACACCGGUGGCGAAGGCGGCUUACUGGACCGUAACUGACGUUGAGGCUCGAAAGCGUGGGGAGCAAACAGGAUUAGAUACCCUUGUAGUC
rnacentral:rRNA from 1 species